rnacentral:rRNA from 1 species
UGAUAAAGCGGAGGAAGGUGGGGACGACGUCAAGUCAUCAUGGCCCUUACGACCAGGGCUACACACGUGCUACAAUGGCGUAUACAAAGGGAGGCGACCUCGCGAGAGUAAGCGGACCUCACAAAGUACGUCUAAGUCCGGAUUGGAGUCUGCAACUCGACUCCAUGAAGUCGGAAUCGCUAGUAAUCGUGAAUCAGAAUGUCACGGUGAAUACGUUCCCGGGCCUUGUACACACCGCCCGUCACACCAUGGGAGUGGGUUGCACCAGAAGUAGAUAGCUUAACCUUCGGGAGGGCGUUUACCACGGUGUGGUUCAUGACUGGGGUGAAGUCGUAACAAGGUAACCGUAGGGGAACCUGCGGUUGGAUCACCUCCUUACGAAG